rnacentral:rRNA from 1 species
GCCUACGGGGCGCAGCAGUAGGGAAUCUUCCACAAUGGGCGAAAGCCUGAUAGAGCAACGCCGCGUGGGUGAAGAAGGUCUUCGGAUCGUAAAACCCUGUUGUUAGAGAAGAAAGUGCGUGAGAGUAACUGUUCACGUUUCGACGGUAUCUAACCAGCAAGCCACGGCUAACUACGUGCCAGCAGCCGCGGUAAUACGUAGGUGGCAAGCGUUAUCCGGAUUUAUUGGGCGUAAAGGGAACGCAGGCGGUCUUUUAAGUCUGAUGUGAAAGCCUUCGGCUUAACCGGAGUAGUGCAUUGGAAACU